rnacentral:lncRNA from 1 species
UAUUUUGGGGAUGUGAUACUGCAAUUUGUGUUAUGGGAUCAGGACAUCUGUUUCCAGGGAGGUGUGUUCUCUUACCGUGAGUCUUUCCCACCGGGGAUCUCUCACGCCCUCGGAUGGUUACACGCUUUGUCUGGGGUGCUUGUUAGCAUAAUGGGGGCUUCUGGUAGCAAGUGUCCUCACUAGUACGUCAGCAUGAGUGGUCUGGGGCCAACUGGGAGGUGACCAAGAACUGCUUGGGUCCCAUCCUGUCCCUCAGAUGGUGUCCAGCCAUGCAGUAAGCUGUAGGAUUAGGCAGUGUACCAUCUGUCAGAGGGCAUAGGCAGCCUCCUACUUAACGAUUAAGUUUUAGCCAUUUAUUUGAUUAAAUUUCAGUUAUGCUAACUGUCCCCAUGUGGAUUAAUGUCUUUUGCUGGGGAACUCUACUGCCAGCAGAUCUUGGCCUACAGCCCCCUCUCACCAGGGGGCAUCUUCCCAGGGGGAGGUCUGAAGCAAGAAGUUUGCUCCCUGUAAGAGACAGAAGAAAAUUGAUCUUCUAUGUGCCAGACACCUUACUUUUUAUGAUAAACCAGUGAGUUAAAAAUUUCACACGUGAAGAAAUGGACCUUCAGAGAGGUUAACUCAGCCAGGAUCACACAGCUGGUACAGGGUAAAGCCAGGAUCUCAAUCCACACCUGUCAAAUACCAGGCCUCUUCUCAUCAAAGGUUGCUGUUUUCAUGUCCUCUCACCCUCCCUCUGAAAGCUCCUGAGAGACCAGAUCUAGACAUCAUUUAAGCUUUGGAGACAUGAACUGAAGCCAAUGAGUUACCUCUUAGGGCAUUUUAUAGCCUCAGUUCUUUUUUUAAAAAACUGAUUAUAGUUGAUUUACAAUGUUCUGUCAACUUCUGCUGUACAGCAAAGUGACCCAGUCAUACAUAUACAGCCUCAGUUCUAAUGAGAGUGUAAAAGGCGUCCUAACUUAGGGAAGGGAUUUUAGGCAUCACACUGAAAGAUGGGAAAUAUUUUGGGGGAGGGGGAUUAGGAAAGAGUGAUAAUCUCUCCUGAGCCCUAAAAUCACCCUGAGGUGUGACUGCUUCCCUACCCAUGGGAAGAGCACUUUAGAACUGUUGCUGAUUUAUAUGGAUUUGUCUGUGUCACUACCUCCAUCUUAAGUGAAUCAUGCAGUUUCGCGGCAUCCUUUACAUCCUUUACAUCCUUUAGCAAUCCUUUACAUACCCACAUUUCUCUCGAGGAAGGGGUAGAGGUCAGAUAAAUACUGACAUAGAGGACCCAGAAUCCAAUAGCACCAACCUCAUCCCAUAAACAUUUGUCCAUCCACCCGACAG